AAUGUAACAAGGUUUCCGUAGGUGAACCUGCGGAAGGAUCAUUACCGAGUGAGGGCCCUCUGGGUCCAACCUCCCACCCGUGUCUAUCGUACCUUGUUGCUUCGGCGGGCCCGCCGUUUCGACGGCCGCCGGGGAGGCCUCGCGCCCCCGGGCCCGCGCCCGCCGAAGACCCCAACAUGAACGCUGUUCUGAAAGUAUGCAGUCUGAGUUGAUUAUCAUAAUCAGUUAAAACUUUCAACAACGGAUCUCUUGGUUCCGGCAUCGAUGAAGAACGCAGCGAAAUGCGAUAAGUAAUGUGAAUUGCAGAAUUCAGUGAAUCAUCGAGUCUUUGAACGCACAUUGCGCCCCCUGGUAUUCCGGGGGGCAUGCCUGUCCGAGCGUCAUUGCUGCCCUCAAGCACGGCUUGUGUGUUGGGCCCCGUCCCCUCCCCCGGGGACGGGCCCGAAAGGCAGCGGCGGCACCGCGUCCGAUCCUCGAGCGUAUGGGGCUUUGUCACCCGCUCUGUAGGCCCGGCCGGCGCCAGCCGACACCCAACUUUUAUUUCUAAGGUUGACCUCGGAUCAGGUAGGGAUACCCGCUGAACUUAAGCAUAUCU
rnacentral:rRNA from 1 species